CUUUCAGGCACAGUUUGAUAUAGGGGCCCAAAUGACGCCAAAGAACCCAGGAGCCUCAUCAGCUUGGAUUUGUACCCUCAAAUGUCGGUUUCUUUCUCUGCAGAUUUUCCUCUUACAACAGCGCUGCUGCCACAGUUUCAGACUUUGUACUGUCACAGCUCCAAAUUCACAGGGGAGAAAACACAAGGAAGGGAGAAGCUCUACUAAAAAGAAACCUGGAGGAAGGAGGAAAAAACUGCCAC
rnacentral:lncRNA from 1 species